rnacentral:rRNA from 1 species
AUAUAAAGUCUGACCUGCCCACUGAAAAUUUUAAAUGGCUGCAGUAAUUUGACUGUACAAAGGUAGCAUAAUCAUUAGUUUUUUAAUUAAAAGCUUGUAUGAAAGGUUGGACGAAGUAAAAUCUGUCUCUUUUUAAUAUAAUUAGAAUUUAAUUUUUAAGUAAAAAAGCUUAAAUUUUUAUAAAAGACGAGAAGACCCUAUAGAGUUUAAUAAUUUUAAUAAAAUAUUUAAUUAAGAUUUAUUAAUUUUAUUUAAUUAAAAUUAUUUUAUUGGGGUAAUAAAAAGAUUAAAAAAAUUCUUUUUUUUUAAUACAUUAAUUUAUGAAUAUAUGAUCCAUUUGUAGUGAUUAAAAGAUUAAAUUACCUUAGGGAUAACAGCGUAAUUUUUUUAAAGAGUUCUUAUCGAUAAAAAAGUUUGCGACCUCGAUGUUGGAUUAAAGAUUAAUUUAGGUGUAGAAGUUUAAAUUUUUGGUCUGUUCGACCAUUAAAUCUUUACAUGAUCUGAGUUCAAACCGGUGUAAGCCAGGUUGGUUUCUAUCUUUAUUAAUUUUUUAUAUUUUAGUACGAAAGGACCAAAUAUAAAAUAUAUAAAUAUUUUUAUUUUGAAUAUUAUUAAAUUAGUUAUUUUGGCAGAUUAGUGUAAUGAAUUUAGAAUUCAUUUAUGUAAAUAUUUUACAAAUAAUACUUGUUUAUAAAAGAUAUAAUUAUUUCUUUUAUUUUAAUUAUUUUAUUAAUUAUUUGUGUUUUAGUAGGUGUAGCUUUUUUAACUUUAUUAGAACG